rnacentral:lncRNA from 1 species
GUGUGGCAUCUUUCUGAACUCCCCCGACUGUCCGAGCUUCCAUAAUACCAUCCGGACUUCUUCAAUAAUGAGCUCCUCCAUUCAUCCACUGGGCUGCUCCAAAUGCUUUCUGAGCUUCACUAUCAGUCUAUUUUCUACAGUGAUCGACUAUCCUCCGAAUCUCUUCCAGACUUUUUUCGGCCAUGAACGACCUUACUCCAAACUUCUUUCGAACUUCGUCAAUGUCCGAGCUUCUCCAACAGUAGGACUUCUAUAGUAGCCAGACUCCAUUUAAAUUUCUACGAUGGUCGACCGCCUUCCGAAUUUCAUCCGAGCUUCUACAAAAGCCGGAUCCCAGUCAAACUUCUACAGCAGACGGAUUCCAGAUGAAUUUUGCCAACGGAUGGGAUCCAAACCGAACCUCUACAGUGGAUGGAUUCCAGACGAAUUUCUACAACGGAUGGGCUCCACCAGCCAGAUCUCUACUCUGGACUUCUAUCACAAGCGGGCUUCAUCCGAGCUCCUACAAGAACCAGACUCCAUCCGAACUUCUACAGU